AGUGAACGCUGGCGGUAGGCCUAACACAUGCAAGUCGAACGGCAGCACAGUAAGAGCUUGCUCUUACGGGUGGCGAGUGGCGGACGGGUGAGGAAUACAUCGGAAUCUACUUUUUCGUGGGGGACAACGUAGGGAAACUUACGCUAAUACCGCAUACGACCUACGGGUGAAAGCAGGGGAUCUUCGGACCUUGCGCGACUGAAUGAGCCGAUGUCGGAUUAGCUAGUUAGCGGGGUAAAGGCCCACCAAGGCGACGAUCCGUAUAUGGUCUGAGAGGAUGACCGGACACACUCGAACUGAGGCACGGUCCAGACUCCAACGGGAGGCAGCAGUGGGGAAUAUUGGACAAUGGGCGCAAGCCGGAUACAGCCAAACCGCGUGAGUGAAGAAGGCCUUCGGGUUGUAAAGCCCUUUUGUUGGGAAAGAAAAGCAGCAGGUUAAUACCCCGCUGUUAUGACGGUACCCAAAGAAUAAGCACCGGCUAACUUCGUG
rnacentral:rRNA from 1 species